rnacentral:tRNA from 6 species
GGAGAGCUGUCCGAGUGGUCGAAGGAGCACGAUUGGAAAUCGUGUAAACGUCAAAAGCGUUUCGAGGGUUCAAAUCCCUCGCUCUCCGCCA